rnacentral:tRNA from 1 species
GGUGGGGAGAGCACAUGCCUAGAAAGCAUGGGGUCCUGGGUUCAAUUCCCAGCCCCUCCA